rnacentral:lncRNA from 1 species
AACCUUAUGGAUCCUUCGGAAGUUCCGAUGAUACAGUAUCAAGCUCACCAACCACUUUAAUAAAGUACCUUCAAUCUUGUCAUUUUUUUCUAUAGCACCACGUACUGACUUUUUUUUGACACUUUAAAUACAGAGCUUGACAAGUUUUCCUAAAUUUUGCAGAUUGGUACAGUAGUUUACAAGGGAGAUUGUGCGAUCAAAGGUGACAUUGCUUAAAUAUCCAUCAUAUGUUUACGCGGGCAUCCGCGAGCACGUGCAGGAGCUACGUGGGACGCUACAGGUGGGAGGACAGGACUCCGGCAAACAGUUGCCUUUUCUGAAUUGUACAACAGCAAAGACUAGAUGCAGUACUAAAGAGAGAAGACGUACGUUAUCGGUGACCAGUCACAAUAGUUGAAUUUUUUUCUUCUGAUGCCACUCAUUCUGACCUCUCAAGAAAUAUAUGGGUGCUAUCACAAGGACACGUGAGUCGCACUGUUCCGAAGAAAAGAACAUGCGCCUAAUAGUGUGUGUGACUCACGUCUCUAGUUGGUAGUGUGAGUCAUCACACCUUUCUUUGACAUGGACUGCUCCACGGCUUGUGUACAUCAAACCAAUUAAACCAGAGGAGCAAUCAGGUAUGUGUUGUAUGCUCCAAACAAAUGGAGCGUGCACACGUUACCAAGCAAGUAUAUAUGGACCGAGAAUUUUUUGAGUUGGUAGAUGAAAUAAAUAGGUCUAUCACCAGCUCUUUUAGUAUCAUGCAUGCAAGUUUAUAUACAUAUGCAAUUGCCAUCUCUCACCUCACAUGGCAGGUGUAAGGGCUCUCAUGUAUGCGUGACAAGCAACAACAUUCAUUUUUUCCUCUAUCAUGCCCCUUUUCAACCAUGUUUGUGAUUGUGUGACACAAAAUACCGCAACAAAUUCAAUGGGAGUAUAAAUGGGCAUGAUGAAGCAGUCCGUGUCAACUCAUGGUGUGACAUGCUUGUGUGUGUGGCAAUUUGCAUGUGUGCACUUCAUUGAAGCUUGGAAUGAGUGGCACCAGAAGAAGAUCUUCCACAGUGUUGUCAGUUCCUGUAGACAACUAGUGCACAUUAGUGGUCGAACCAAGUACCUUUAUUUUCUCUGGGAGUGUUCAAUGUUUCAUCAGAAGAACAUCUUCAACUACGCGUGCGUAUGAAGCCUAUGCAUUCUUGUCACCGUGUGGUUAUUAAAUAAAUGAAGAUUCCUCCAUCCAUUAAGGAACAUAUGUUUAUUGUCAUUUUCACUCUUGUACCAUGCUGAUCACACACAAAAACUUAUUUAAGCACGUGAUCCACCAAUUCUCGUAUUUCUCAUGCAAAGAAAAAACAUACUCAUAUUUCUCAGGCAAAACAUAAAAACUAUUAUUUUCUCUCUCCAAGCUUAUUGACUGACCUUCUGGUCAUUCAGUACAUGGGUAACAAUCCCUGCCUAAGAUUGAUCAGCUAUCAUGACCUUUCUAUAUCUUUGUUUCUUGUCUACUAAUUAUGUUGCCCAAGCCUGCUAGAACACAUCAUGAUUGCCUAACUAUAUGAUGUUUGUUUCUCUCCUCCCAUCAUAUUGACUAGGAUACAACCACAAAAUUGAUAUAUAAAUGUAUCCAGGUCGAUGCACGACAUGGGAAUUGUCUGGAUUGUCUACAUGCACUAACUCGUUUGGAAUUAGUGACACCAGAAGAACGUGCUACAGUUUGUUCUCAUUGAUGCAACAUGGGACACAUGCACGAUAGUAUCCAUGCAUUUUUUUCCUAAUUAGAUGCAUAGGGAAAGUACAAUGACAUAUCGAACAAGAGUGUCACACUAAGAAACAAAGGAGUGCUCACAAGCUAGAUCCACCCUCUACUAACUCACAACUUCACCUUUUCCUUCUGAUCUAACUCCACCCUCUUGCAUCUCUACGCAUAGAGCUAGCAAUGACAUUGAUGAAACUAGUAUGUUCAGAGUUCUGACGCCCAUAAACACGACCAAGCUUAUGAUAACACACAACGUUCCUAUAAAGUAAGUAGUACCCCCUUUGUUCCAUAAUGUAGUGAGUAAAGUUUUUUCUCAAAACUAACAUUUUCCAAAUUUGACCAAGUUUACAUAAAAACACAUCCAUGAUACCAUUCUUUGUCCACCAUCAACAAAGGUAAGUAAAUAUUUUCCUUGAACUUCAGGAUGCAUAAGCUAAUCUUAUUUGAAAUGAGUGGCAAUAAAAAACAUAUCUCAUGGCUUAUUUUCUAGGCACAACUAAUUGAAUGGGAAGCAUAUCUCUAAUGUGCUCCAGCCCCCAAGGCAUGUCAAAUUGCCUUACGAAAACAAAUCAGCCAUUCAGACCAUAUUGAACAUAAGAGGCAUGAGUGGAAUUCAUGCAUGAAGCAAUCAUUAUGGAGUGGCCCUACAUUAUCACUACCUCCCUCAGCAUCAGAAUAUCUCCCUUCCUUUCUUGGUCCACUAAACUGUCAAACAAUUCACUCUAGCAUUUACUAUGUACCACAUAAUGUCAAAUGUUGAUGAGCAUGUAUAAAUACAAAAAUUCUACUACUAAUAAGUGUCUCAAACUAGAAAGAGCAAAGCCAUUUGAAAUGCAAAAGACACUUUGGGGAGUCUUAACCUAGAAACGGGGAUAUGAGUCUCUGCCGGGACAAAGCAUAUGAGAGGAUCCCCAUUUUGCAAAAGUGAAGCUAGCUAGAAAGCGGGUCUUAGUCUACUUCCUUUUUUUACAUAAGGAAAUAAAUACUUGCAAAAACUCAUCUUUCUUCCAUCCUAAGAAGUUUGUCCGGACAUAAUUAUCAUUUCCGAUGUAUGGACUUGCUUGCAUAGAGACUGCCGGAGCAAUGUUGGCUUCAUACACUAGAUCUCCGCCAAGCUAUGAAAGUGCUUUCGAGCGUUUCCCUGUAAUUAUUAUUAAGAAAUAUCACGUGUGCUUCCUUCAUCAGUAGUUUAGUACAACUAUAUUUUAUAGAAGAGAGUUCAAGAGUAUUCCUCACACAUGUUAUGACACAUGCUCAACUCAAUGCUUUUGUUGUAAUGGUCAAAUGGAAGAGAAUGAAGCACUGCCUCGUCUCAAAUUGACGUGUUUGUACAGUUGUCACCAUAAUGAAGGGGUGGAAAAAUGGAAAAUAUUGAACGUAAGUAUUAUGCAUAACUAAUGGAUAAACUAAUUGUAUCAUAAAUCCUUCUACUAUACUCCAUUCCAUUGGGAAGAAUAAGUUUGUGGGUAAUGUUCAUUCCAACUGAACAAGACUUACUUCCAACCGCUUUUUUCUCGAGAAAGCAUAGGAAUUCAUCUAAGCUUAUUCAUAAUUCUAUUUUCUAUACUAUCUUGUGAUAUUGUACUGCAAACACUCGGUAUGACAAUAGAUUGAGAUAAAAAAAUAGGUCAUGAUAAUUUUCUAAAUUUGAAGCAUACAACAACUUACAUUUAUUGCCACUUAAGAUGUGCACAUGAGCCAUUGCUUUUGAGAAAAACAUCUCCUAUCAAGAACCAUAUUUCGCUCAAAUUGUUAUUGAUGGGAUGUUUUCCAGCAACAUGGUGGGACCAUAAGUUGUAUGCGUAUUUUGGAAGUUGAGAUGAAAUUCAUUGUGUUUUGUCCUAGGGAGAAUGUUAAGAUGAACAUCUAGGCAUAAUUAUAAACUACGUUUUGACAACAAAAUAAGUCCGUUCAUGAUUACGAGUUGUGACUGUCAAGAAUGAUAAUUUUUCUACUAAAUAGACACACAUGCGCGCGCACACACACAGAGAGAGAGAGAGAGAGAGAGAUUUCUCACUUGGCAAGCAAAAGAAAUUGACACACACACAGUCGCAUUGGUCAUGCUACAAUUUCUCACUCUGCAAGCAAAACAAUUGGUCGCGGACUACAUAUUAGGAACAUAAGAUUUGGAGACAUAGGCUAAACUAAGGUGCUAGUUUUCAUUGCAUUUGAGUUGCACGCCUUACAUACUGCUAAACCUAUUAGAUGGUUGAGAAAUCAAAGUUCCAUGGAUUUUGAACUUAUUGAACACAUUACAAUUCUUUGAAAUUCUUGUUGAG